GACGAACGCUGGCGGCGUGCUUAACACAUGCAAGUCGAACGGAAAGGCCCUGCUUUUGUGGGGUGCUCGAGUGGCGAACGGGUGAGUAACACGUGAGUAACCUGCCCUUGACUUUGGGGUAACUUCAGGAAACUGGGGCUAAUACCGGAUAGGAGCUCCUGCUGCAUGGUGGGGGUUGGAAAGUUUCGGCGGUUGGGGAUGGACUCGCGGCUUAUCAGCUUGUUGGUGGGGUAGUGGCUUACCAAGGCUUUGACGGGAAGCCGGCCUGAGAGGGUGACCGGCCACAUUGGGACUGAGAUACGGCCCAGACUCCUACGGGAGGCAGCAGUGGGGAAUAUUGCACAAUGGGCGGAAGCCUGAUGCAGCAACGCCGCGUGCGGGAUGACGGCCUUCGGGUUGUAAACCGCUUUCGCCUGUGACGAAGCGUGAGUGACGGUAAUGGGUAAAGAAGCACCGGCUAACUACGUG
rnacentral:rRNA from 1 species